AUUGAACGCUGGCGGCAGGCCUAACACAUGCAAGUCGAGCGGAUGAAGGGAGCUUGCUCCUGGAUUCAGCGGCGGACGGGUGAGUAAUGCCUAGGAAUCUGCCUGGUAGUGGGGGAUAACGUCCGGAAACGGGCGCUAAUACCGCAUACGUCCUGAGGGAGAAAGUGGGGGAUCUUCGGACCUCACGCUAUCAGAUGGGCCUAGGUCGGAUUAGCUAGUUGGUGGGGUAAAGGCCUACCAAGGCGACGAUCCGUAACUGGUCUGAGAGGAUGAUCAGUCACACUGGAACUGAGACACGGUCCAGACUCCUACGGGAGGCAGCAGUGGGGAAUAUUGGACAAUGGGCGAAAGCCUGAUCCAGCCAUGCCGCGUGUGUGAAGAAGGUCUUCGGAUUGUAAAGCUCUUUCGGUUGGGAAGAAGGGCAGUAAGUUAAUACCUGGCUGUUAUGACGGUACCAGCAGAAUAAGCACCGGCUAACUUCGUG
rnacentral:rRNA from 1 species